rnacentral:rRNA from 1 species
CGCGUAGGCGGCUUCGGAAGUCAUGGGUGAAAGCCCCAGGCUCAACCUGGGAAUUGCCUGUGAAACCACGGAGCUGGAGUGCUGGAGAGGGAAGUGGAAUUCCGAGUGUAGAGGUGAAAUUCGUAGAUAUUCGGAGGAACACCAGUGGCGAAGGCGGCUCACUGGCUCGAUACUGACGCUGAGGUGCGAAAGUGUGGGGAGCAAACA